rnacentral:rRNA from 1 species
CACGUAGGGCGCAAGCGUUGUCCGGAAUUAUUGGGCGUAAAGAGCUCGUAGGCGGUCUGUUGCGUCUGCUGUGAAAACUCGGGGCUUAACCCCGAGCCUGCAGUGGAUACGGGCAGACUAGAGGUAGGUAGGGGAGAAUGGAAUUCCCGGUGUAGCGGUGAAAUGCGCAGAUAUCGGGAGGAACACCCGUAGCGAAGGCGGCACUCUGGGCCGGAACUGACGCUGAGGAGCGAAAGCGUGGGGAGCGAACAGG